GACGAACCGUGCGAACGUUGUUCGGAAUCACUGGGCUUAAAGGGCGCGUAGGCGGCUUCGCAAGUCGGGGGUGAAAUCUUUCGGCUCAACCGGAAAAGUGCCUCCGAUACUGUGGAGCUCGAGGGAGGUAGGGGCAGACGGAACUUCCGGUGGAGCGGUGAAAUGCGUUGAUAUCGGAAGGAACGCCGGUGGCGAAAGCGGUCUGCUGGCCCUCUACUGACGCUGACGGCGCGAAAGCCAGGGGAGCAAAGCGGGGAUU
rnacentral:rRNA from 1 species